rnacentral:misc_RNA from 1 species
GAUGAAGAACGUAGCGAAAUGCGAUACUUGGUGUGAAUUGCAGAAUCCCGUGAACCAUCGAGUCUUUGAACGCAAGUUGCGCCGGAAGCCAUUAGGCCGAGGGCACGCCUGCCUGGGCGUCACACGUCGUUGCCCCCCCAUCUACUCCUUCGGGAUUGCGGGGGGCGGAUGAUGGCCUCCCGUGCGCCUCGUCGCGCGGUUGGCCUAAAUGCCAAGUCCUCGGCGACGCACGCCACGACAAUCGGUGGUUGCGAAACCUCGGUUGCCUGUCGUGUGCGGUCGUCGCGCAUCGAGGGCUCGAAAAAAUUGCCGGGCUUCGGCUCGACUUUCAACGCGACCCCAGGUCAGGCGGGGUUACCCGCUGAAUUUAAGCAUAUCAAUAAGCGGAGGA